GACGAACGCUGGCGGUGUGCCUAAUACAUGCAAGUAGAACGCUGAAGAGUGGAGCUUGCUCUUCUUGGAUGAGUUGCGAACGGGUGAGUAACGCGUAGGUAACCUGCCUUGUAGCGGGGGAUAACUAUUGGAGACGAUAGCUAAUACCGCAUAACAAUGGAUGACCCUUGUCAUUUAUUUGAAAGGGGCAAAUGCUCCACUACAGGAUGGACCUGCGUUGUAUUAGCUAGUAGGUGAGGUAACGGCUCACCUAGGCGACGAUACAUAGCCGACCUGAGAGGGUGAUCGGCCACACUGGGACUGAGACACGGCCCAGACUCCUACGGGAGGCAGCAGUAGGGAAUCUUCGGCAAUGGGGGCAACCCUGACCGAGCAACGCCGCGUGAGUGAAGAAGGUUUUCGGAUCGUAAAGCUCUGUUGUAAGUCAAGAACGAGUGUGAGAGUGGAAAGUUCACACUGUGACGGUAGCUUACCAGAAAGGGACGGCUAACUACGUGC
rnacentral:rRNA from 1 species